rnacentral:rRNA from 1 species
GUGUCAGCCGCCGCGGUAAUACGGAGGGUGCAAGCGUUAUCCGGAAUUACUGGGUUUAAAGGGUGCGUAGGCGGUUCGGCAAGUCAGAUGUGAAAUCCCCCGGCCUAACCGGGGAACUGCGUUUGAAACUGCCGUGCUUGAGUGCGAUAGGGGUGCGCGGAACUUCCAGUGGAGCGGUGAAAUGCGUUGAUAUUGGAAGGAACGCCGGUGGCGAAAGCGGCGCACUGGGUCGUUACUGACGCUGAGACACGAAAGCCAGGGGAGCGAACGGGAUUAGAUACCCCGGUAGUCCUGGCUGUAAACGAUGGGCACUAGACGGGAGACGCUUCGGCGGAUCCGGUCGCAGCGAAAGCACUAAGUGCCCCGCCUGGGGAGUAUGGUCGCAAGGCUGAAACUUAAAUGAAUUGACGGGG